rnacentral:rRNA from 1 species
GACGAACGCUGGCGGCGUGCUUAACACAUGCAAGUCGAACGGCAAGGCCCUGCUUUUGUGGGGUGCUCGAGUGGCGAACGGGUGAGUAACACGUGAGUAACCUGCUCUUGUCUUUGGGAUAACUUCAGGUAACUGGGGCUAAUACCGGAUCGGAUCUCCUGCUGCAUGGUGGGGGUUGGAACGUUUCGGCGGUUGGGGAUGGACUGGCGGCUUAUCAGCUUGUUGGUGGGGUAGUGGCUUACCAAGGCAUUGACGGGUAGGCGGCCUGAGAGGGUGGCCGGCGACAUUGGGACUGAGAUACGGCCCAGUGUCCUACAGGAGGCAGCAGUGGGGAGUAUUGCACAGUGGGCGGAAGCCUGAGGCAGAGGCGCCGCGUGUGGGAUGACGGCCUUCGGGUUGUAAACCGCUUUAGCCUGUGACGAAGCGUGAGUGACGGUAAUGGGUGAAGAAGCACCGGCUAACUACGUG